rnacentral:rRNA from 1 species
CUACGUGCCAGCAGCCGCGGUAAUACGUAGGGGGCAAGCGUUAUCCGGAUUUACUGGGUGUAAAGGGAGCGUAGACGGCGAAGCAAGUCUGGUGUGAAAACCCGGGGCUCAACCCCGGGCCUGCAUUGGAAACUGUUUUGCUUGAGUGCCGGAGAGGUAAGCGGAAUUCCUAGUGUAGCGGUGAAAUGCGUAGAUAUUAGGAGGAACACCAGUGGCGAAGGCGGCUUACUGGACGGCAACUGACGUUGAGGCUCGAAAGCGUGGGGAGCA